UACGUAGGUGGCAAGCGUUGUCCGGAUUUACUGGGCGUAAAGAGCGCGCAGGCGGUCGUUCAAGUCGAGUGUGAAAGCCCCCGGCUCAACUGGGGAGGGUCACUCGAUACUGAUCGACUCGAAGGCAGGAGAGGGUAGUGGAAUUCCCGGUGUAGUGGUGAAAUGCGUAGAUAUCGGGAGGAACACCAGUGGCGAAGGCGGUCUGCUGGGCCGUUGCUGACGCUGAGGCGCGACAGCGUGGGGAGCAAACAGG
rnacentral:rRNA from 1 species